GCCUACGGGGGGCAGCAGUAGGGAAUCUUCCACAAUGGGCGGAAGCCUGAUGGAGCAACGCCGCGUGGGUGAAGAAGGUCUUCGGAUCGUAAAACCCUAUUGUUAGAGAAGAAAGUGCGUGAGAGUAACUGUUCACGUUUCGACGGUAUCUAACCAGAAAGCCACGGCUAACUACGUGCCAGCAGCCGCGGUAAUACGUAGGUGGCAAGCGUUAUCCGGAUUUAUUGGGCGUAAAGGGAACGCAGGCGGUCUUUUAAGUCUGAUGUGAAAGCCUACGGCUUAACCGGAGUAGUGCAUUGGAAACU
rnacentral:rRNA from 1 species